AAAGUCUUGGCGGAGUUUUCUAUAGUUAAUAGCUUAUGAUUUUGUCAACAAGUUUUGAUCUUUUCUAAAAAAGCUUUCUUUUUGUGGGAUUAACUUUGAUAAGGGAAUUUGGGGUUUUGGUUUUCUUUGUAAAGAUGGCAGUAGUGGGAGAUUUAGCUUUGAUGGGGACUAAGAUUAAGUUAACUGAUAAAUUUGAGAAAAGGGUAUUUGGUGUUCCACUUUCUUCAAGUACAAGAUUUAGUUUUUCUCAUGUUAAAAACUUGGAUGUCAGAAAAUUAAGAACUGCAGUCAGAGCAGUGAUGCAAGUUGAGAAAAUUCAAAGUUCAGGUGAAUUGAAAGAAGGGUCUUUAGGCUUUGAUGUUGUGUCAGAAAGGGAGCUUAAAGAAAAUGGAUUUUUGGGGUUAAGGAAGACAAAGCUUGUGUGUACAAUUGGACCAGCUUGUUCUUCUAUAGAUGAGUUGGAGAAAUUGGCUAUUGCAGGUAUGAAUGUGGCUAGGCUAAAUAUGUGUCAUAACUCAAGGGAGUGGCAUCAAGAUGUUAUUAGAAAGAUUAAGAAGUUGAAUCAAGAAAAAGGUUAUUGUGUAUCAGUUAUGAUUGAUACAGAGGGGAAUCAAAUACAAGUUGACCAUGGCUCUUCAUCUUCUGUCAAAGCAGAGGAGGAUUCAAUCUGGUACUUUACUACAGAGAAGUUUGAAGGUUCUCGUCCAUUUACAAUUCAAGCAAAUUAUGAAGGUUUUUCUGAAGGUGUCAAUUCUGGUGAUGAAAUUGUCAUUGACGGAGGAAUGGCAACUUUUGAAGUUAUAGAGAAAGUUGGUAAUGGUUUGCGCUGCAAGUGCACAGACCCCGGUCUACUUCUGCCUAGAGCUAAGUUGAGUUUUUGGAGAGAUGGAAAGCUUUUAGGAAGAGAUUAUGAUCUCCCGACUUUAUCAACAAAGGAUUGGUCAGACAUUGUAUUUGGAAUAUCUGAAGAUAU
rnacentral:misc_RNA from 1 species